rnacentral:misc_RNA from 1 species
UGGUUCUAGCAUCGAUGAAGAACGCAGCGAAAUGCGAUAAGUAAUGUGAAUUGCAGAAUUUUGUGAAUCAUCGAAUUUUUGAACGCACAUUGCACCUUUUGGUAUUCCGAAAGGUAUGCCUAUUCGAGCGUCAUUUCACCAAUCAAACAUCUGUUUGGCUUUGAGUUAAAUCGAAAGGUUAACUUCAAAAAGAAUUAGUUUUGGUACAAUGAUCUGUAUUAUAAAACUAUUAUUCUAUUAUUUUAAAUGGUUGACCUCGAAUUAGGUAGGAUUACCCGCUGA